rnacentral:rRNA from 1 species
AAUGAACGCUGGCGGCAUGCCUAACACAUGCAAGUCGAACGAAGGCUUCGGCCUUAGUGGCGCACGGGUGCGUAACGCGUGGGAAUCUGCCCUUGGGUUCGGAAUAACUCAGAGAAAUUUGAGCUAAUACCGGAUGAUGUCGUAAGACCAAAGAUUUAUCGCCCAAGGAUGAGCCCGCGUAGGAUUAGCUAGUUGGUGAGGUAAAGGCUCACCAAGGCGACGAUCCUUAGCUGGUCUGAGAGGAUGAUCAACCACACUGGGACUGAGACACGGCCCAGACUCCUACGGGAGGCAGCAGUGGGGAAUAUUGGACAAUGGGCGAAAGCCUGAUCCAGCAAUGCCGCGUGAGUGAUGAAGGCCUUAGGGUUGUAAAGCUCUUUUACCCGGGAUGAUAAUGACAGUACCGGGAGAAUAAGCUCCGGCUAACUUCGUGCCAGCCGCCGCGGUAAAAC